AAAAAAAGAAAAAAAACCUGAACUGAUUUGACAACUCCCUGGGUGGAGGGAAGUAGGUUGGCGGCACCAAACAAGGGAAGCAGGUUGGCGGCACCAGUUGAGGCAACCCUGUUGGCGGCACCACCCUUGAAUUUAAGGGUGGUCGGUUGGUGGGGGGAAGAAGGAGAGGGGAAGAAGAAGAAAGAAAGGAAGAAAGAAAAAGAAGGAAAAGGAAAGGAGAGGAAAGAAAGAAAAAGAAGGAAAGAAAAGGAAAUGGGAGGAAAGAAAGAAAAAUAAGGAAAGAAAAGGAAAGGAGGAGAAAAAAAAAAGAAAGAAGAAGAAGAGGGAAGGAAGGAAAAAAAGAAGAAAAUAAGGUAAUUAUUN
rnacentral:lncRNA from 1 species